UAGCUAAAUGCGGAAGAGAUAAGUGCUGAAAGCAUCUAAGCACGAAACUUGCCCCGAGAUGAGUUCUCCCUGAGACCUUGAGUCUCCUGAAGGAACGUUGAAGACGACGACGUUGAUAGGUCGGGUGUGUAAGCGCAGCGAUGCGUUGAGCUAACCGAUACUAAUGAACCGUGAGGCUUAACCUUACAACGCCGAAGGUGUUU
rnacentral:rRNA from 1 species